UCCAGUCGGUGUCCGAAUGCGGGUACCUUGAGCACCAGCGCGGUGUCCGUAGCCACCGGCAGGAGCAGAGAUGAGACCCAUUAAGCGUAGCAAUAAAGUACCGCGUGGGGGAAGCAAGGAACAAAAAGAAAAGGGAGUGAUGGUUUGUCCAUCACGCUGAGAGCUUGGUUUUACAGAAGUUGUCGCAACCUGCUUUUACAGAAGUUGUCGCAACCUGCUUUGUAACGGAAGCGAACUGCGAAAGGCAGCCAUCUGCUUCCACUAAUGCCUGAUCCGGGAGAGAUGCGACGACUCGACUGACUCCUUUGUCCACUGGGCGGCGAUAGUGGUUACCAACAUCGUCUAUUGUCUAAGAAAGCCUCUUGGUCCGCGGAGAACAAUACUUUUAGUGCUGCUUUGCUGAUGUAGUUCACAUGUUCUUUGUCCUGAGAAAGCUUUUUUCUUUC